rnacentral:sRNA from 1 species
UCUUGGGAUGUUUCAAAUCCCCUAGGUCAUGUAGAGUUUUGUUUAGGGGUACAUGUUGUUCCGUAAGGCUGAGUGCUGACAAAGGAGAAGUUUCAUGUUUGCUGCAAAUUAAAAGUAUACAUGUUGUAGUACAACUAC